AUUGAACGCUGGCGGCAUGCCUUACACAUGCAAGUCGAACGGCAGCACGGGAGCAAUCCUGGUGGCGAGUGGCGAACGGGUGAGUAAUAUAUCGGAACGUGCCCAGUCGUGGGGGAUAACGUAGCGAAAGCUACGCUAAUACCGCAUACGAUCUAUGGAUGAAAGCGGGGGAUCGCAAGACCUCGCGCGAUUGGAGCGGCCGAUAUCAGAUUAGGUAGUUGGUGAGGUAAAGGCUCACCAAGCCGACGAUCUGUAGCUGGUCUGAGAGGACGACCAGCCACACUGGGACUGAGACACGGCCCAGACUCCUACGGGAGGCAGCAGUGGGGAAUUUUUGGACAAUGGGCGCAAGCCUGAUCCAGCAAUGCCGCGUGCAGGAUGAAGGCCUCGGUUGUAACGUA
rnacentral:rRNA from 1 species